GCUGGGCAUGGUGGCGCGUGCCUGUAGUCCCAGCUGCUCAGGAGGCUGAGGUGGGAGGAUUGCUUGAGCCCAGGAGGUUGAGGAUGCAAUGAGCUGAGAUCGCUCCAUUGCAUUCCAGCCUGGGUGACAGAAUAAGACUCUGUCUCAA
rfam:Pan troglodytes isolate Yerkes chimp pedigree #C0471 (Clint) chromosome 1, whole genome shotgun sequence.